UACGUAGGCAGCAAGCGUUGUUCGGAAUUACUGGGCGUAAAGAGUGUGUAGGCGGUUUUCUAAGUUUGGUGUGAAAUCUCCCGGCUUAACUGGGAGGGUGCGCCGAAAACUGGAAGGCUUGAGUGCCGGAGAGGAUAGCGGAAUUCCUGGUGUAGCGGUGAAAUGCGUAGAUAUCGGGAGGAACACCUGCGGUGUAGACGGCUUACUGGACCGUAACUGACGCUGAGGCACGAAAGCGUGGGGAGCAAACAGG
rnacentral:rRNA from 1 species